rnacentral:rRNA from 1 species
UACGUAGGGACCGAGCGUUGUCCGGAAUCAUUGGGCGUAAAGAGCGUGUAGGCGGCCACUUAAGUCCUGCGUGAAAUCUUGCGGCUCAACCGCAAGCGGUCGUGGGAAACUGGGUGGCUAGAGUGCGGGAGAGGAGAGUGGGAUUCCUGGUGUAGCGGUGGAAUGCGCAGAUAUCAGGAAGAACACCCGUGGCGAAGGCGGCUCUCUGGAACGCAACUGACGCUGAGACGCGAAAGCGUGGGGAGCAAACAGG